GAGGAAUAUUGGACAAUGGAUGGAAAUCUGAUCCAGCCAUGCCGCGUGCAGGAAGACGGCCCUAUGGGUUGUAAACUGCUUUUGUAUGGGAGCAAUAAGGACUACGUGUAGUUUGAUGAGAGUACCAUACGAAUAAGCAUCGGCUAACUCCGUGCCAGCAGCCGCGGUAAUACGGAGGAUGCGAGCGUUAUCCGGAUUUAUUGGGUUUAAAGGGUGCGUAGGCGGCGAUAUAAGUCAGUGGUGAAAUAUUUCGGCUUAACCGAGAGACUGCCAUUGAUACUGUGUUGCUAGAAUAUGGUUGCUGUUAGUGGAAUGUGUGGUGUAGCGGUGAAAUGCUUAGAUAUCACGAAGAACUCCGAUUGCGAAGGCAGCUUACCGGGGUACAACUGACGCUGAUGCACGAAAGUGUGGGUAUCAAACA
rnacentral:rRNA from 1 species